GGAAAAGAUUAGACGUCAAAAUAAAAGAGAGAAAGAAGGUAUAAGAUUAAAAUUUAUAGUUCAUAUAUUGCCGUAUCAGAAGCCCAAGAACUGCACUCAACCAGUUUGAUUGUGCACGAUUGAGGUUAGGUGAUACGAGACUUGCGUAUUGCCCUGUAAUCUAAACAUAUUUGUUGUAAAAUUAACAAAAUACAAUAAUUGACCGAUCUUUUAGCUGAAAUCGCUUGGAAUGCAUUCCUUGAGGUGUUGCUGAAAAGCCUUUUAUUUAAUCCACCCAUCAAACUAAAUGAUCGUCCGAGAUAACCACGAAGCACUGCCGAAUAGUACAAGGCGUAGCCGCAUCGCGGACACACAGUAACCUGUGCAACGAACCUGACACGGAUCGGAUGGUAAGCUGUUAUCACUGCGAAUUGAGGCGACAGACCGAUCGUUCACAUGCCUAAACUGUCAGACACCAUCAGCACAGAUUCCGGUGAUUGAUGCACCUGGAAGCAAGGCUAACAGCAAAGCAGAAACGAGCUCUUCAAUCUGUAGUGCUGGAGCGAAUAGGGCUGGCCUACAGCUUGAAAGACUUGAGCCUCAGAAGGUUUUGGCGAGGAAGCGUAUAGAGUUGGAGCGUCGGGAAAACGAGCGGAAGUUGGAGCAAGAGAUGCCGUAAAAGGAAGCUGAGUUUGAGCGGGCGCUAUUUUGACUUGCACAGGUGAUAAUGAACAAGUCAUUCCGUUUGAGAGAGGUGAUCGACCUACGUGGGGAAGGCGAUGAAGGCAACCGGAGUGUCGCUUCUGUGCAGAGUUCCUUCAACAAGGUACAGCAGUGGAAGGCCGCCAUUCGACCGCAAUGCAUCAAGACAGUGCAGGUCCGAGAAGAGAUCCAGUGACAGUGGACGAAUUACUGAGGGAAUGAGUAUUCCCCAUCGUACGUUGGCCAGCCGUUACCGUCUGUGAUCCCCACUAUGCAAAGGUUUUCGAGAAGGCAGAUAGUACCACCAGCGAUCCAAUUGGGACCGCAGAAAUAGCCGCAAUUUGCGGAGUUCCAGGCUAGUGCGGAGCCAUCUCCGUUGCAUGACGAGCAGGUGUCACAGUGAAAAUUAGUAGUAAGACACGUUAUGAGUAAGGAGUUGCCAAUCUUUCCUGGCAAUUCGGAAGACUGGCCACUAUUCAUUGGCUCGUACGUUAACUUUACUCAGACGUUCGGUUUUUCGAACGAGGAAAAUUUUACGAGGCUGCAACGGUGACUGAUGCUACCGGCGAGCGUCCCGUAUGUUUUAGCUACGCUGGAGACACUAUGUGGUAUACCGGAAUUGUUGAUCCACACGUUGUUGCAGAGGAUCCGAGGGGUGCCAGUUCCAAAACAGGAAAGACUCGAUACGCUAAUUGGUUUCGGGAUGGCAGUACAGAAUUUCUGUGAUCAUCUGGAAGCCGGGAGGCAUGAAGCGUAUCUUAACAGUUGGUUGGUUGGUAAAGAAGCUUGGGGUUGUAGGAGAUCCGCAACUAUUGUGCCUGCAAUAGACGGCGAACGUGAAGAGGUCAGAAGCUAAUUCUCAACGGGUCACAUUGGAAGUAAGAGGACGGUCAGGGGCACCAGCAGUAGUGGAUCCAGGAGGAGGGUCUUGGGGGUUCGGACCCCCUCCGAAAUUUUUUAACUUGUUGAAAAUUUUUAAAAUAGUUUCCAUUUUAAUUCGUUCUAAACUCAAAAUCGUUUCAGACCAGAUUGGAUUUUUAUUAAAUAUAUUACGAAUUGUACAAUGAACGUUUCAAAAUCGAAAUUUCGGAUACCCUCUGAAUUUUUUUCUGGAUCCGCUCCUGGGCACCAGACAUUCUUUGUCGGACGUGCGCAUCGUAAGCAAGCUGGACUUACAACGACAAUUCUUGCGAUACGCGGAACUCACAGAAGUCUCCGUACCUGAACGGCCUAUCGGUCGAUGAUUACGAUCAAGCGAUACCUCGUAUCCUCAUCGGAAACGACGACGCUCACGUUACGUCGACGCUCAAGUUACGAGAUGACCGGAAGAGCCGGUGGUAGCAAAAUCACGUUUGGGAUGGACGGUUCAGGGAUCCCAAAUUGGCGAUAGCCAAUUUUAAACAAAUAUUGGGGCUCAAUUUCUUCAAGGCUCCUGUUCGCGGCAAGUUUACUGACAGACUCUAGUAUGUUUUCACAAAAAAUGAUGGUGGGUCAAGCAAUCUGCUCCUGUGGCAAGAAAACCAGCCGUUUUGUGAUGAACAAAACAACUAGUUUGGAAGAGUUGAGAAUAGGGUGCCGUAAUAAACAGAUUCGGGUCGUAAAUUUUGAUAUUAUCCCUAUUAUGAUUUUGACAUUUGUUCUUCAGUUAUCAAAUGACGACCGAGCAACAAAUCACUAAAUGUGGCCAAAUCAACUACCACGAAAGUAGCAAAAGUGGAACGUUUGUCGAUAGUCCAGAUAACUGGGUCGGAAGGAUAAAAGAGUGAUCAGCGGUUUCAACCAAUCCGUCCGAGAUGUCACAAACAAAUUGAAAGUGUUGUCUUCACACAUGUCUCGAACUAAAAAAUGAGCAAGACUGUUGACUUAUAAGAAGGUAGUGACUCCCAGUAGCAACGUUAAAAAAAUCGAUAGCGUAGUAAUACAAUGAAACGCAUAUGAAGACCAACUUCAAACAGUUCGGCAGGCUAUCUGUACCUGUGAUUUGAAAAGCUACCAGGACAUCUACGUACACGAGUAUCUGUAACGUUUGAAGCAACACAAUUGUUCCGUGCUGUUUUGGAAUAAUUUGCCAUUCAGUCAUUACGGAACAGAGGUUAUGGAGUGGUAUGACGCCAACAACGUUCAGAAGGUGUCCAAGGUCGCGAACCCUCCCAAUAGGCUAGAGCUCUGUUCAAUCUACAGGUUUUGGAUCACCGUUAAGCGUAAUCUGAAGAAUCCAAUUCAGUGAUGAUCAAAGUGUGCAGCAGUUAAACGAAAGACCCGGUAACUCGGAUUCGGUUAACGGGAAGCACAUUUGAAUAUGUUGACAAUAUUUCAUCACUUUACACACAUGACUAAAUUUUGAUCGAAACACCCUUUGGUGCUGCUCUGAAUCAUAAGCGAAUGUAUUUCAUUCUACCAGGUUAUCCGAUCUAGGAAUUGACGUUUCCUAGUCCUCUUGAACAACCGCUGCGACGAAGAUGCACCCUCGAUCACACACCUCCAGCGAGUGCGGGGUGUACCCGAAGUCAACUUCCAGGUUCUCUGCUGAGCAUAACUAAAACUGGCGUCCCUUUCGGCAUUCGCGCUACAUGUCCAGUCUACUGUUGUCUGCCGUUUUUUAUCAACCAUCCGAUGUCGGUAUUUUCGCUUGCAUUAUGAUCACAUAAAGUUACUCGCGAUGCGUUUGUGCAAAUGAAAUCCUGGUACAUCAAGGUUUUCAGACGCGAGUAUCGUGCGCGCGAUUUCACAAUUUAAGUUUGUUCUGAAGUACCCAUACUGCCCACGUUAUUUCAGAUACAGCUCGUAAAGUGUAUACCGAGCAAAUACGAGGUUCGUUUGUGGUUUGGACCAUUGGAUAAUUAUUCCUUACAAUUCUUAAACAAAGUUCUCCAGCUCACGCUGAUGAUCAAGUACAGCAUUUGAGUAUAGUAAGAACUGAUCGUCGAUUUCAUCAACCUGCUCCUCUUAGCGAUUAGGAAGAGAGCGCACGAACCUGUGCUUUCGAUACUCCUUAUUUCUUUCUUACAUGAGCACAUGUAUUGUAAGCUUCGAUCAGCCGAAGGUUGUCGGUUUGAUUCUUACCCCUGAGUCGAUUUUUGCACGUGAUUGAUCCCGUUUAAGAGGGACGUCUGGUGUAAAGUGCCCAAACCGAAAGUUAUUUUGUUUUACGAUUUUGAAGGCAAGGUAACAAUGGAUCUUUUGUGUAAUGUUAAGAUUUAUCUAUAUGCUAUUUGCGCGCGAAAAAGAAAUUCAGUCACGCAGAGCCAAACAUACGAGCGUUCAAUGAGUAGACGUCCAACCAUUACCACGUCGAAGAGCGCCGCAGCGAACAAGAUAACUCUUGAAAAAAUUGUCUGACACAGGAAAUUCAAUAAGAUUUGGGAAGCUUAGACU